UCUGUAAGAAAAGGAAGAAAGUUUGGGUGGGUGGAAACGGAAAUGAAAGAAAAAACCGAAGAAAAAACGGAUAGCGCUUUAGAAAAUGGGCAGCUGAGGGAGGGGAUAAUUUAUUUUAUUCAUGGAUCCACAAGAGGUGUGAGU
ensembl:ncRNA R12C12.11 ncRNA